ensembl:snRNA U5 U5 spliceosomal RNA
AUACUCUGAUUUCUCUUCAGAUCGUAUAAAUCUUUCGCCUUUUACUAAAGAUUUCCGUGGAGAAUGCAAUGAUGAGCAGUUGACUGUCUCCCAGCCAAGACCUGUUGAAA